GACGAACGCUGGCGGCGUGCCUAAUACAUGCAAGUAGAACGCACAGUUUAUACCGUAGCUUGCUACACCAUAGACUGUGAGUUGCGAACGGGUGAGUAACGCGUAGGUAACCUGCCUGGUAGCGGGGGAUAACUAUUGGAAACGAUAGCUAAUACCGCAUAAUAUUAAUUAUUGCAUGAUAAUUAAUUGAAAGGUGCAAUUGCACCACUACCAGAUGGACCUGCGUUGUAUUAGCUAGUAGGUGAGGUAACGGCUCACCUAGGCGACGAUACAUAGCCGACCUGAGAUGGUGCUCGGCCACACUGGGACUGAGACACGGCCCAGACUCCUACGGGAGGCAGCAGUAGGGAAUCUUCGGCAAUGGACGAAAGUCUGACCGAGCAACGCCGCGUGAGUGAAGAAGGUUUUCGGAUCGUAAAGCUCUGUUGUAAGAGAAGAACGGGUGUGAGAGUGGAAAGUUCACACUGUGACGGUAUCUUACCAGAAAGGGACGGCUAACUACGUG
rnacentral:rRNA from 1 species